GCAUUGGUAGUUCAGUGGUAGAAUUCUCACCUUCCAUGCAGAAGACCCUGGUUCAAUUCCUGGCCAAUGCA
rnacentral:tRNA from 1 species